rnacentral:lncRNA from 7 species
AGCCCCAUCAUGAUCGUUCGGCAUAGGACGGACUUGGGUUCACCGACACCCACGUCAACUGAAACCUUUUAGGCCCAGUUUAAGUUGAGAAGAAUACCACAUCAGUAUGAUAUAUUGUAGGGUCGGAGUCGUUACAAGUUAAGCUCUAGUUUCAGGGGUUAUGUUGUGCAAUCUCUAGUUGUCUCUUGUAUUUUGAAACCGAAUACAUGCCCUUAAACUAUAUAUGAUCACAUAUGUAUACAGGAAAGGGACACGAGGUUACAACAAACUCUAUCCAUAUACUAUAGUACCCUGCUAAUCAGGUCUCAGACGUAACCGAACUCUUUAGUAUGUGUAUUUUUUAGUUUUGACGCAAGCUCUAAUUGUGGGAUGCGGCGUGCGCGCGUGCACACCUGCGAGCUUUGCGGUACGGCAGCACAGCAAUAAUGGCCUGUCCUCCUCCUCCUGCUGAAUAAUAUAAAACUCGCCCACGGCCUUUCGCCAAUCGCCAUGUGCAGGUCGCAGCAAAUGCAAAGGCACCCUUGCAGCUGCAUGCUCCAUCGAUGCGCGCGCGCCGCAGCCUGGAAAAGCGAUUCGGUUCCGGCACACACUCAGAUGUCUGUAAAGGCCGGAGUAUGUAAACGCUUAUCUCCUCUCGAGAUUUCGAGUACUAAGACUAUCUCCAGCGACGUUCUUUAUAUUCAUAUUCUAUAUUCGUUAUUUAUAGUCUUCUCUAAAAGAUUUUUU